rnacentral:rRNA from 1 species
UACGUAGGUGGCAAGCGUUGUCCGGAAUUACUGGGCGUAAAGAGCGCGUAGGCGGGAAUUUAAGUCAGGAGUGAAAACUACCGGCUCAACCGGUAGCCUGCUUUUGAAACUGAAUUUCUUGAGGGUAUGAGAGGAAAGCGGAAUUCCCAGUGUAGCGGUGAAAUGCGUAGAUAUUGGGAGGAACACCAGUGGCGAAGGCGGCUUUCUGGCAUACAACUGACGCUGAGGCGCGAAAGCGUGGGGAGCAAACGGGAUUAGAAACCCCUGUAGUCC